rnacentral:lncRNA from 1 species
ACGACUCCAGAUCUUCGGAUUCUGAAGCGGCCACUUUGACUGACGACGACUCCAGAUCUUUGGAUUCUGCAGCGGCGACUUUGAAAAGUUUCCAGCAUCUCCAUUGUGAUCCUCAGGCACCAAAAAUGUCCAGCAGCCGGUGUUACUCUCUGAUCCAAAGGGUGACAGUGGGACGCAUGUGGACCAUAGAAGACGUUGGGUCGAUGGAAUUUAUGAGCGGCGAGGAGCUCUUCUGCCGCAUCAUCGAAGGACAAAGUAAUGAGCUGGAAUGGAAUUUGCAGUUGUUUCCCAACGGUGUGGACAAUUCCUGUCAGGGCUGGAUGUCUCUAUUCCUCUCCCUGGUCAAGGGGCCAGAGACAGGAGUCCAGGUGAAGGGCAAGAUGUCCAUCGUCAACAGUGAUUGUCGGGAUCUCGUUGUUGGACACUUUCACAAAAUGCUGCACCCAGGAGAGAGGUACGGCUUCAGACAAUUUAAGAGAUGGGUGGACGUCGUGGAUGAGGACUACGGACAUCUUCAGGAUGGCAACCUUCACAUAGCCUGUAAAGUAGGUCUGACAGAAUGCCUCCACACACUGAGCAAAUUUCAUAGACUUGCUGAGCUAGAGACGUAACACUCCAAAUCCGCAAGGUGCCGCAAGGAUUUUGUGUUUGUUGCUGGACUCGGUGAACACCAUGAGGCAGAACGUGCUGGUCCCAAAAUGCAGCAUGCAAGCUGAUUUCAGGAAGCUGUUGGAGGACCCGCUGUUCUCUGACUGCUCUCUGUGGGCGGCUGGAGAGGAGAUCAAGGCCCACAAAGCCAUCCUAUCAGGUGACAAACUCAUGAGGUCUGAUUAAUACACACAGACAUGGUUCAGUGGGAUACAUUUAGAUUAUU